rnacentral:rRNA from 1 species
GAUGUACUGUGCGAACGUUAUUCGGAAUCACUGGGCUUAAAGGGUGCGUAGGCGGCGAUACAAGUCAGGUGUGAAAUGCCGGAGCUCAACUGCGGCAUUGCGCUUGAAACUGUGUUGCUUGAGUAUUUCAGGGGUGUGGGGAACUGCCAGUGGAGCGGUGAAAUGUGUUGAUAUUGGCAGGAACACCGGAGGCGAAAGCGCCACACUGGGGAAUAACUGACGCUGAGGCACGAAAGCCAGGGGAGCGAACGGG